UACGGAAGGGGCAAGCGUUGUUCGGAAUCAUUGGGCGUAAAGGGCGCGUAGGUGGUUCUGUAUGUCUACCGUGAAAGCAUACAGCUCAACUGUAUUUUGUCGGUAGAAACUGCAGGACUUGAGGCUGGGAGGGGCUGGUGGAAAUUCCCUGUGUAGCGGUGAAAUGCGUAGAGAUGGGGGAGAACACUCGUGGCGAAGGCGGCCAGCUAGACCAGUUCUGACACUGAGGCGCGACAGCGUGGGGAGCAAACAGG
rnacentral:rRNA from 1 species